rnacentral:rRNA from 1 species
UCCUACGGGAGGCAGCAGUGAGGAAUAUUGCACAAUGGGCGCAAGCCUGAUGCAGCGACGCCGCGUGGGCGAUGAAGGUCUUCGGAUCGUAAAGCCCUUUUCUGUGUGACGAGAAAAAGGACGGUAGCACAGGAAUAAGUGUCGGCUAACUACGUGCCAGCAGCCGCGGUAAAACGUAGGACGCAAAUGUUAUCCGGAGUUACUGGGCGUAAAGAGCAUGUAGGCGGUUCAAAAGGUCGGUCGUGAAAGCUCCCAGGCUAAACCGGGAGAGGUCGUCCGAAACCGUUGAACUAGAAUUCGGUAGAGGCAUGUGGAAUUCCGGGUGUAGUGGUGAAAUGCGUAGAGAUCCGGAGGAACACCAGUGGCGAAAGCGGCAUGCUAGGCCUGAAUUGACGCUGAGAUGCGAAAGCAUGGGGAGAGAACGGGAUUAGAAACCCCGGUAUUCCAUGCAGUAAACGAUGCACACUAGAUGUUCACGAGGCAAUGCUGAAGGAGCGUCGAAGCAAACGCGAUAAGUGUGCCGCCUGGGGAGUACGGUCGCAAGGCUAAAACUCAAAUGAAUUGACGGA